rnacentral:precursor_RNA from 8 species
AUCAUGAGCCCCAGAAAAUACUGGUUGGCCAGAAAGUUUGUUUGGGUUUUUCCGUAAGAUGUAACAGGAAAACCUGAAGAGACUUUUUGGCCCACCCAAUGCAAAGCAGGUUAACAGCAU